UUAAAAUAAGUGUCCAUUCCCGAAUGGGUCCGUGAACACACCUUUCACGUGACGUACGCACACACGCACAAGCAAGCCUGCUUCGGCCAAUCAUGAGCCUUGUUCCUCCCUAUACAAGUUACUGCUGCGCUUCUUACUAUAGACUCGGGAGGAAGGCAACACGAACGGCUGCAACAGGUCGGACACCAUCGCGGAUAGGACGCUGGGUACUUGCUGGGUGAUGUUCAUUGUGGAAAUUGGCCAGGUGUGCUUGGUUGGCACAGAACCAUACGAGGCGAGCUGACCCAAAAAGGAGCCUGAACCCAAGUUACCAUCUCAACUCUGUCGAGCUGACCCAAAAAGGAGCCUGAACCAAGUUACCAUCUCAACUCAGUCCUGCGGUCUGGUAGGGGCUGUUGCAGCCAGUCCUCCCCUGUUCUCUCUGUCCCCCGCUGUCCGCAUAUGAACUGCUUUGCGCUAUGGACUCUAUUUCAUAUCCCAACCUGUGUGGUUUCUAUGGACAAUGAUACAAAACUCUCUUAACUUUAUUGCGGACAGUAAAAUAUUUCCACCAAUAAGUGGGAAAAUUGUGGAGGAGAAAGGGAGAAUAUUAUAUUCUGGUUGGUUGAUUGUGUUCUAUUGUGCUUUGACCAAUGUUUUGUGAACCGUGACAAAAAAGGGAAAAAAUACUUUUUUUUGUGUGAACUACUCAAGCUUGGGAAUAUUUUUAAAUCUCUGCAGAUUGUAAAUAUGUAUCACUUCAACUCACUGUAAAUAAUACACAAGCUACUUUAAAAUCUA